AUUGAACGCUGGCGGCAUGCCUAACACAUGCAAGUCGAACGAGUGGCGGACGGGUGAGUAAUGUCUGGUAACCUGCCCGAUGGAGGGGGAUAACUACUGGAAACGGUAGCCAAUACCGCCUACCAUCGUUUGUGCCCAGAUGGGAUUAGCUAGUCGGUGGGGUAAAGGCGCACCUAGGGGACGAUCCCUAGCUGGUCUGAGAGGAUGACCGGCAACACUGGAACUGAGACACGGCCCAGACUCCUACGGGAGGCAGCAGUGGGGAAUAUUGGACAAUGGGCGAAAGCCGGAGGAAGCCAUGCGGCGUGGAUGAAGAAGGCUUUCGGGUUGUAAAGUACGUUCAGCGGGGAGGCGUUACCCGCAGAAGAAGCAACGGCUAACUCCGUGCCAGCCGCCGCGGUAAUAC
rnacentral:rRNA from 1 species